GGCCGCGGGAUUAGAGUUUGAUCCUGGCUCAGAUUGAACGCUGGCGGCAUGCUUUACACAUGCAAGUCGAACGGUAACAGGGAGCUUGCUCCGCUGACGAGUGGCGAACGGGUGAGUAAUGCGUCGGAACGUGCCGAGUAGUGGGGGAUAACGCAUCGAAAGGUGUGCUAAUACCGCAUACGUACUGAGGUAGAAAGUGGGGGACCUUCGGGCCUCACGCUAUUCGAGCGGCCGACGUCCGAUUAGCUAGUUGGUGAGGUAAAGGCUCACCAAGGCGACGAUCAGUAGCGGGUCUGAGAGGAUGAUCCGCCACACUGGGACUGAGACACGGCCCAGACUCCUACGGGAGGCAGCAGUGG
rnacentral:rRNA from 1 species